AAAAUACAUAAAUGCAUGUUUUUUUCUUCAUUUUAUAUCUAUUUCUAUUGGGUAUUUUGACUUUUUCAGGUAGAGGAAUGUCUGCGACUAAGCCGAGGGCCACUGGAUAAGGGUUGUUGAUGGUAAAACAGGUAGAGGAAUGUCUGCGACUAAGCCGAGGGCCACUGGAUAAGGGUUGUUGAUGGUAAAACAGGUAGAGGAAUGUCUGCGACUAAGCCGAGGGCCACUGGAUAAGGGUUGUUGAUGGUAAAACAGGUAGAGGAAUGUCUGCGACUAAGCCGAGGGCCACUGGAUAAGGGUUGUUGAUGGUAAAACAGGUAGAGGAAUGUCUGCGACUAAGCCGAGGGCCACUGGAUAAGGGUUGUUGAUGGUAAAACAGGUAAUAAUACUAAUUUAUUAUCAUGUACACAGGCAAAU